AUUGAACGCUGGCGGCAUGCUUUACACAUGCAAGUCGAACGGUAACAGGCCGCAAGGUGCUGACGAGUGGCGAACGGGUGAGUAAUGCAUCGGAACGUGCCCAGGCGUGGGGGAUAACGCAGCGAAAGCUGCGCUAAUACCGCAUACGAUCUAGGGAUGAAAGCGGGGGAACGUAAGGCCUCGCGCGAUUGGAGCGGCCGAUGUCAGAUUAGGUAGUUGGUGGGGUAAAGGCUCACCAAGCCAACGAUCUGUAGCGUGGUCUGAGAGGACGACCAGCCACACUGGGACUGAGACACGGCCCAGACUCCUACGGGAGGCAGCAGUGGGGAAUUUUGGACAAUGGGCGCAAGCCUGAUCCAGCAAUGCCGCGUGCAGGAAGAAGGCCUUCGGGUUGUAAACUGCUUUUGUACGGAACGAAAAGGCUCUGGUUAAUACCUGGGGCUCAUGACGGUACCGUAAGAAUAAGCACCGGCUAACUACGUGCCAGCCGCCGCCGUAAUAC
rnacentral:rRNA from 1 species